UCCUAGGCAUAAAUAGGCUAUAACCCUACCAGAGUACUACGAACCAUUAGUUUAAAACUCAAAGAACUUGGCGGUGCCUUAGACCCCUCAGGGGAACCUGUUUCAUAAUCGACAAUCCACGUUGAACCUUACCUUUUUUUGAGAAAUUCAGUAUGUAUACCGUCGUCGUCAGGUAACUUUUUAGAAUAUAGAAGUUAGCAAAAGAGAAUUUUAUCUUUAACGUCAGAUCAAGGUGCAGCCAAUAAAAAGGAGAGAAUGGGUUACAAUUAAUAUUUAUAAAUACGAAUAAAGCAAAUGAAAAUAUGCUAUGAAGGAGGACUUGAAAGUAAGAUAAUAUUAUAAAAACUAUCUGAAUCAAAUUGGCUCUGAGGCGUGC
rnacentral:rRNA from 1 species